GUUGCCGCUUCCCUUUCAUUCCGCGGAAAGGUGCAGGGCCAGCCUGGCCCGCAGCAGCCGCCUGUGAUGCGAGGGAGCGAGUGGCCCAGAUGGACAGGGUCAGCUCCAGACGCUCGGACACACUUCCGACAGUAGCCAUUCCCGGAGCCUUCGUUAAGUGCGGACACAAAGUCCUCAGUGCAUCUGACAGGAGGAGGCUCUCCGGUGCGCGGGAACGGUUCCGAGUUCUGAAGCCUCCGCCACGCGGCCGGCACCGCGACACUCCCUCCGAGUGGGAAGUCGACUGAGUUCGACUCUCACGCCCAGCAAGGAGGUGCUGACACAGACGUCUUCGGCGACCUCAUUAGAGGCCUAACAAGAGGGAGGACUGUGUCAGGGUCACCCCGAGGUCAGGCAGGACAAAGAAACAAACAAUGCAGCACAAGUGUCCCUGUGAGGCAGCUCCUCAGACCUGGCUGCACGGCUCAAGGAGCUAAAACAGUUUCACUGCCGGGACUUCAAGAUGCACCGCAGCAAGUUCAGCUUCAAGUGCGUGUCUCAGGACUGCGGCCUGGGUUCUGCAGCCCAGCAGGCCUGGGAGCUCAGCGGGACUGACCGCGCCUGCCGGGGAAUGGUCCAGAAGCACACAACCGGGGCUCCCAUUUACAUCUUCCCCGCUCUCCGGCACCCCCUCUCUGCUCGGGCCACAGUCCAGCUCAGCUCCCUUCGUUCAGAACUGCGGUGGUUCAAGCGAUUCUCCUUAAAGGGAACAGCAUCGCUGAGCACCAGCUCGCCUCUUCGGGCUCGGAGAGCUUGCUGGGGCGGAUGGAUUCCGUCUAAACUCACAGGAGGUCCAGGCGCAAGAGGAAGAGCAGUGCGAUUCCCAGGAGGUGGAGGAAGGGGGCGGGAGGCACAGGGGAGCAGCCCUCUCGGGUGGAUGGACACACAGACUUCUCUCUUCCUCGGCAGUGAGGUGGGAGGGGUGCGGCUGUGGGAGAGCAGAGCUGUGAGGGUUCUGCCCAGCUCGGCGGCGAGAGGGUGCACCAAGGAGAGGGCUGUGGGGCUUGCCGCCUGCGGCUGCUUGCUGUGGAUCCCUGGGCCGGGGGAGGAGGGUGGCAGACAAACUCCCUCUUCUGAUGCCCCUUCCUUAGCAGAGGGGGCGGGCCAAGGCUUCCUUCUUCCCUUCAUCUCCCAGAAGCAGCGCCAGCUACCACAGCCCCAUCCAUUCUGUGCUGGGGCCCAUCACCUUCAGGUGCAUCGUUCAUUCAUUCAUUCAUUCAUUCACUCACCCCACACUUACUGAGAAGCUAGCCUGUGCCGGCAGACACAGCAACGAAUAGCCUCUGGCCCAGGGGGCACACAGGCUGAUGGAGGAGUCGCAAUCCUAACUGUACCAGCUAAUACCUAUUGAACCCUCAGAUGUGCCAGCUUCUAGCCCUCAAGACCCAGGAGCUUUCUGAAGCCGAGGUCUGAGUAUCCACCUCCAUUCCCCACUGUAUCAGUCACCUUGUCCGCGGUAACGAAAUACAGUAGACCGGGUAACGUGACGGCAGAGAUUUAUUUCUCACAACUGUUCUGCAGACUGGAAGUCCAAGAUCAGGGUUCUGGGUGGGCUCUCAAGAGAAAUCCUCCUGGCUGCCUUCUUGCUGUACCCUCACAUGGCAGAGAGAGAGAGAGGGGGGAGGGGAAUUCUAGUCCCUUCCUCUUUCGUAGUCCUAUCUUGGGACCCCCAUCCUCAUGACCUCACCCAAACCAAAUUACCUCCCAAAGGACCCAUCUCUGAAUGCCAUCACAGUGGAGCCAGGGGUUCCACAUAGGAGUUGGGGGAUGCCGUGGGCGCUCAGCAAACGUUUGCUGAGCUGCACGGAGAUCUGUCUGUCUGUUGUUUCUCUGUCCCACCUUGUCCCCCAGGCCCCGGCGUGGGGGGUUUUAACAGAGGGACACCGCAGGCCCGACCAGCCUACAGCUGGCCCUCCCGCCAGCCUGCGCUCUAAUUUUCUGAUGCUUUGCUGUUUCCCCUCUCACAACAUAAUCUCCCUGAUCUCCAGUCUUUCCCGAAUGCUGUGGAAAGGCUUGUUGUAUUUAUCUCCGGAGAAUCUGCCGUGCCCCUGUGCAAUUUUCCAUUGUCAUGGUUCAUUUUAAUUUCCUCUAAGGCUGUUGGCCACUCUCGUGUUCAGAAAUAGCUUGUUCCACUUAAUAAAAGCGCUUAAAUAUGCA